CUCCUACGGGAGGCAGCAGUAAGGAAUAUUGGUCAAUGGACGCAAGUCUGAACCAGCCAUGCCGCGUGGAGGAUGAAGGCCCUCUGGGUUGUAAACUUCUUUUAUUGGGGAAGAAACCCAUCUUAUCUAAGGUGGUUGACGGUACCCGAUGAAUAAGCACCGGCUAACUCCGUGCCAGCAGCCGCGGUAAUACGGAGGGUGCAAGCGUUAUCCGGAUUCACUGGGUUUAAAGGGUGCGUAGGUGGGCAGGUAAGUCAGUGGUGAAAUCUCUGGGCUUAACCCAGAAACUGCCGUUGAUACUAUCUGUCUUGAAUGUAGUGGAGGUGAGCGGAAUAUGUCAUGUAGCGGUGAAAUGCUUAGAUAUGACAUAGAACAUCUAUUGCGAAGGCAGCUCGCUACACUAUGAUUGACACUGAGGCACGAAAGCGUGGGGAUCAAACAGGAUUAGAUACCCUGGUAGUCCACGCCCUAAACGAUGGAUACUCGACAUCAGCGAUACACAGUUGGUGUCUGAGCGAAAGCAUUAAGUAUCCCACCUGGGAAGUACGACCGCAAGGUUGAAACUCAAAGGAAUUGACGG
rnacentral:rRNA from 1 species